UACGAGGGGGGCAAGCGUUGUUCGGAAUUAUUGGGCGUAAAGGGCGCGUAGGCGGUGCGGUAAGUCACCUGUGAAAACUCUGGGCUCAACUCAGAGCCUGCAGGCGAAACUGCCGUGCUUGAGUGUGGGAGAGGUGCGUGGAAUUCCCGGUGUAGCGGUGAAAUGCGUAGAUAUCGGGGAGGAACACCUGUGGCGAAAGCGGCCCCGCUGGGGCAGUGGCUGACGCUGAGGCGCGACAGCGUGGGGG
rnacentral:rRNA from 1 species